UUCAGCCUAAGCAACUUAGAAAGUCUUGGGGAGGAAUUCUCACUGUCUGGCUUGUGAGGCCCCAACAGAGCUGAUCUGCAGCUGUUAUUUUAGCCUAAAAUCUGAAGCAAAUGGCCUCUGCUUAUUAGAUGAAAGGAUGAAUCAGGACUGCAUAAAUAAGAAUGACUUCUAAAGAGCUAUCACUCAUCAGAGAUUGUACAGAUAGUUUGUCUCACUCACUCUUCAAUAGGCAUUGCAGAUCCUUCAACAUUAUAACACACCUAUUUGAUGUCUCCAGAAUAUCAUUGAUGGGUAAGGUGGCUGGACACACAGGGGACGGAGCUCCUGAAGUUUUAAUAUGGUAUUUAUACGUCGAGGGCAUGUCAAGGGCAGGUUUUGAGACUAAAAUUAUGGAUUUUGAGAUGACUCAUCAUUAAGUCGAAGGUCAUUCUAUGGAAAUAGGAAAGUGCCAGUGCUGUAUCAAUGGGCAGUCCCCCAUUGGCCACAAUUUUUUGACCAGGCAUUAAAAACAGAAGCAGCACUAUGGCAGAGAGAAUAGAUGGGUCAAUGCUUCCUUUAGGCCCUCCCAGGACAGACAAAGCUCUAACACAGUGGUUUUCAACCUGUAGGUCCCCAGGUGUUUUGGCCUACAACUCCCAGAAAUCCCAGCCAGUUUACCAGCUGUUAGGAUUUCUGGGAGUUGAAGGCCAAAACAUCUGGGGACCCACAAAUUGAGAACCACUGCUCUAACAUUCAACAACUCUACUUGGAGAAAGUUCCUUUUUAAAUAUAAGAUUUAAGGUACAGUACUUAUACUGACCCAUGGAUUUGUCAACCUAGUUUUUUCAGUUGAUUUUUUGACUGUCAUUUCUAGACUGACACACUAGCCGAACUGGUGGCAUUUCAGCAAAUCCCAUUCUUCCUAGCCCUGUCAAAAUGUCCAGUUCUACAUAGCUGUUCAUGUUAUAGCUGCCUUGUCUUCCUUCACAUCUGAUCCCAUUACACAUCAUGUUUAUGAUAAUGGAGCAAGCAAUAGGGAACAUAUUCUGUAUAUAGUGGGAAGACAUUGUUCCCCAUACUUGGCCCAAUAAUCACCCAAGGACUCUUCCUGAGAAUAUUUCUAUAAUACCAGAACCAAUUACCAGUAGUUUAUACUGUGUGUUAUUUGAGGACACCAUCUGGAAGUAAAAAGAAGGCUACAAAUUAGCAGUCCAUAAAUGGUACUGAAAUAGCUGAAACCAGGAAUGGAAAUAUUCCACAUAUUUUGAGCCCCCAAAAUUGUAUGCAACCUGGCUCACUGCCAGAUUUUGCUUGGAUCGGCACCACUUCAUUUCAUUUGACUAAGCAGCAAGUUCUCUCCCAAAUGCUGAUGGAUAAAUAUUAUUAAAAAGGGAGAGAUGAAGGAACCUGGAGUCCUUCUUCUUGUAGGAAAAAGCAAGCGAAUCAUGUCCUGCAGAUAAAAAGGCUAAAACUGGAAAUUUGGGAGCAGAUUAUAUAUAAAGACAGAAAGCAGACUAAAACUCAGGAUACAAGAUACUUUAGGGAAUAACAUACAAUACAAGCGACAUGUCAAAAGUAUGCAUCAAUAAAGGAAAGGCCCAAACCCUGUUUGUACCAGUAACAUAUUAGUAUACACACAUGUUCUCUACAGAUGUUGUUUUUUUCUAGUUUUAUCCUCCUCUACUAAGUGCCUUGACGUGAAAUAGUUUCAAUUCAAAAUGCAAGCAUUGACCUUUAAAGCCAUGAGAAAUUUCGAAAUGGGACCAGGUUAUCUGAAGGAUUGUAUACAUUGAUGAACCUGCAUAACAAGAAUAUGAACCUGCCCAGACCCUGGGAGUAAUAUCAGAGACAAAUUUCUCAUCCAGAUUUUAUUUCACUUUGCUUCUACAAAGUGUCAGUGAACACAGUAAUUGUUUUGAGUUACUUUUCCUUUUUAAAAUUUUUGGUUGAUGUACUGCAAAGAUGUUUCUCUGUUUGUGUGAGCCCAUAUAACUUUGCAAAUAAUGCCUCAUGGUUGUUAUUGUGUGCCUUCAACUCAUUUCUGACUUAUGGUGACUCUUUCACAGGUAUGGUAGGAUUUUCCCUUUGUUCAGAAUGAGUUUGCCUUCUCUCAGAGGCAGGAAGAGUGAUUUGCUUGACAUCACUUAAUGAGUUUCCAUGGCCAAAUGGAGAUUUGAACCCUGGUUUUCAGUCAUAGUCCAUCAAAAGAUGUGAGAUCCAAAGCAGAACACAUGACUAAGACCUAGAGGAAAGGGGAACAACAGGAGGAAGAGAAAAACACCUGGGGAAAAUGGAAGAAAAUAUGUUUUUUUAAAACCUAAGUAAGACCUACUUUCCAGAACACAUUUGGGUUGUCUAAAGGUUGGCAGCUACCACAACAAGAAAAAAGACUCUGAGGCUUAUCGAAAAAUAAUAUAUUCACAUGGUUCCUAUUUUGUGAUUUUUUAAAAUAACCUCCAAAUCAUAUUUUCUGCCUAUGUUCUUUUCUCUCUCUAAUGUGAUUUUAUUUAUUGACUAUUUCCCAUUUAUAUUUUCCUGCUGCUGAUAUUAAUCCAGUUAUAUGAAAACUCAUACAAUCUAACCUGCAUGUCUUGCUUGAAAGUCCAAUUAAAAAAUAUAUUAACCUUA